ensembl:piRNA 21ur-649 ncRNA
UAGUUUAAAAGUAUAAACCAC